rnacentral:rRNA from 1 species
AGAGUUUGAUCCUGGCUCAGGACGAACGCUGGCGGCGUGCCUAAUACAUGCAAGUAGAACGCUGAGGACUGGUGCUUGCACCGGUCCAAGGAGUUGCGAACGGGUGAGUAACGCGUAGGUAACCUACCUCAUAGCGGGGGAUAACUAUUGGAAACGAUAGCUAAUACCGCAUAAAAGUGUUUAACCCAUGUUAAACAUUUAAAAGGUGCAACUGCAUCACUAUGAGAUGGACCUGCGUUGUAUUAGCUAGUUGGUGAGGUAACGGCUCACCAAGGCGACGAUACAUAGCCGACCUGAGAGGGUGAUCGGCCACACUGGGACUGAGACACGGCCCAGACUCCUACGGGAGGCAGCAGUAGGGAAUCUUCGGCAAUGGACGGAAGUCUGACCGAGCAACGCCGCGUGAGUGAAGAAGGUUUUCGGAUCGUAAAGCUCUGUUGUUAGAGAAGAAUGAUGGUGGGAGUGGAAAAUCCACCAUGUGACGGUAACUAACCAGAAAGGGACGGCUAACUACGUGCCAGCAGCCGCGGUAAUACGUAGGUCCCGAGCGUUGUCCGGAUUUAUUGGGCGUAAAGCGAGCGCAGGCGGUUCUUUAAGUCUGAAGUUAAGGCAGUGGCUCAACCAUUGUACGCUUUGGAAACUGGAGAACUUGAGUGCAGAAGGGGAGAGUGGAAUUCCAUGUGUAGCGGUGAAAUGCGUAGAUAUAUGGAGGAACACCGGUGGCGAAGCGGCUCUCUGGUCUGUAACUGACGCUGAGGCUCGAAAGCGUGGGGAGCAAACAGGAUUAGAUACCCUGGUAGUCCACGCCGUAAACGAUGAGUGCUAGGUGUUAGGCCCCUUUCCGGGGCUUAGUGCCGGAGCUAACGCAUUAAGCACUCCGCCUGGGGAGUACGACCGCAAGGUUGAAACUCAAAGGAAUUGACGGGGGCCCGCACAAGCGGUGGAGCAUGUGGUUAAUUCGAAGCAAACGCGAAGAACCUUACCAGGUCUUGACAUCCUCCUGACCGGUCUAGAGAUAGGCUUUCCCUUCGGGGCAGGAGUGACAGGUGGUGCAUGGUUGUCGUCAGCUCGUGUCGUGAGAUGUUGGGUUAAGUCCGCAACGAGCGCAACCCCUAUUGUUAGUUGCCAUCAUUAAGUUGGGCACUCUAGCGAGACUGCCGGUAAUAAACCGGAGGAAGGUGGGGAUGACGUCAAAUCAUCAUGCCCCUUAUGACCUGGGCUACACACGUGCUACAAUGGUUGGUACAACGAGUCGCAAGCCGGUGACGGCAAGCUAAUCUCUUAAAGCCAAUCUCAGUUCGGAUUGUAGGCUGCAACUCGCCUACAUGAAGUCGGAAUCGCUAGUAAUCGCGGAUCAGCACGCCGCGGUGAAUACGUUCCCGGGCCUUGUACACACCGCCCGUCACACCACGAGAGUUUGUAACACCCGAAGUCGGUGAGGUAACCUAUUAGGAGCCAGCCGCCUAAGGUGGGAUAGAUGAUUGGGGUGAAGUCGUAACAAGGUAGCCGUAUCGGAAGGUGCGGCUGGAUCACCU